rfam:Camelus ferus unplaced genomic scaffold scaffold297, whole genome shotgun sequence.
GUACAUAUAGCUCAGUGGUAGAGCACAUGCUUAGCAUACGUGAGGUUCUGGGUUCAAUCCCCAGUACCUCCA